ACACGGGAUUUGAGUAUUCAAAAACACCAGUUUGUCCACUUUGUCGUCCAGAGAGCAUGAAAACCAAGUUCGGGUUCAAUUCUUGUGGACGAUUCAUUACCAAUCGGAUGAGUACUUUUUGGCCCUCACAUUGAUCUAAUUUGGGAGACCUCCAUUGCGUGUUCUUGGUUUGCUUAAAAAAUGGACAAUGGGAAAAACAGUUUCAGUCGUCGAUUCUCCAACCAAAUCAGGAAUGCACCAAGUUCCCAUUCAAAUUCAUGAAAUUCAGACUGCCACCGAGAAAGGAUUGAACGAAGAUGAUCAUUCAUGAUCCAACUGGAAUUUCAAAUUUUCCAACUCAUGUCAAGAGGAAUGUUGUGUUUCUCAGAUUUUUCUGGUUCUCCUAAUGAGAGAAUCAAGAUCAGAUCUGCAAGAAUGUAGAACAAAAGGGGGAGAAGAAAUAAACACACUAACACAUGUGGAUUGCAUCCCCGAGAGAUCCUCGGAGUCAAAAAGGAAACUCUCCCAGACCUGGAUAACAGCAACUAUUUUCGUGCUUCGCCUGGCAUGAAGUUGAAAACAGGCACUUGAAAUUGAUUUGAGAUAAAGAGGCCGUGGAACAUUGUUAUUAAGGGACCACCACUCACCUCCCCCCCUCCUCUAUCCAAGGAGAUGCGAAGUGAGUGAACAACAAUUUAUGGCUUGAGACCGAAAUGACAUGAGAAAGUAUCAUGAAGAUCUCAGUGUGUGAUCAUAUUUGAUCCUUUGGAAUCAACUGAGACAUCUCGGGAAUGAAGGUCUAGACACGAAAUCUAAGCUUCAGCUCUCAUCCUCUGAGGCAUGGAGGGCAUGGCCAGCACUCGUGAAGGCGGUCAUAAAACCAGAUUGCUUCGUCAUUUAGUCAAUGAUAAUUCUUGAACGGGUCCCUCUCUCUGGCACGUCUCGUCUUCACACUCUUAAGGAAGGCUCGUUGCUCAUUGGAUAUGCCUCUCCAGGGAUGGCUUAAACGUGGUCUGGACGUUUUCAAGAAAAUGGCUCGACGAAGAGAGCGUCGAUCAUUUACAUUCAAUUUUGGCUCCUUCUAAGCCCGAAGUGUCAAUCCUAACCAGACCAAAACGAUGGAAAACGAACCGCUUCGUCUCGUAAGGAUGAGCUCGUUUAGGUUGUGGAUUGUGGAUAGAAAUGCACCAAUGAGCAUAUGUGUCAAAUGAGGUUAAUUCUUCUUCUCGUCAAACGCCCACAAAACCCAAAAAUGUGGUUGCAACGGAUCUGCAUCGCCAUAUCUUAAAUGGUCACCUCUACAUUUGCCGCCGUUGAUAUCACCCUCGUUUUGCUCCUUCUACGUGCCUCAACGUUUAAUAGUUGGAAGUGGGAAGCUGACAAUCAAUCGUCUUUAGAAGAGGCUACAGCCACGGCAACCGAUAUUUAGACGAAUCUAUGAUAUUUAUCACUUCCGCUGCUGACAGCCAGAAACAUGAUUCCGACAAAUUCCAAGCCCACUUUUUUCAAUGGCAAGGUAUGUGGUCCACGUAUGAAGUAAUGAGCUCCAUGAUAUUCAUGAUAUGGGAGGGGUGCAAUAGGGUUGGUAGCAUGAGCGCACAAAGUGAGAACCAAUCUGAUUUUUCAAACCGAUGCGAAACGAAUGGCUACAGAUGUAUGAGACCACCCAACAUAUGAACCAGCGGAGUCACAUUUUAUGGGCACAAGUUUUCACAUUUUGCAGUGACCACUUUCAAUGGAAGCGGACCAGAGCGAGAUGGUGUUGGAAGAUAGCCAGGGAGUGAGAAGGGCUUGUCUCCUUUCCUCUCUCUUGCUCCUUCCUUCUCAGUUUACAGCCCACUUCUCUCCACUCAAAAAGCUCAAAAAAUCGCCCAAUGCCUUCGUUGAAAUCUCUCCAAUUUAGUAUCUCGGAAUGAAUCGGCCAUAUUUAAAGGCGGCUCACUCACAAAAAGGAAAGAGAAAAAUGGAAUUGACUAAAAGUUGGAAAGAGGUCUUUGACACAUCAUUUUUCGGCAAGUCAUGGCUAGCAUGAAUGAGAAAGAAAGGAACUCGAUGUGGUGGCGAGAAGCCACAUUUCCGCUUUUGUUGGAGCCGAGAAACAAUUCUGUGGAAAUAGGAUCCCGCCCGCGUGCUUUUCUAUCAUAGUCGCGUUAAAACAUGAUAGGUGAACAUUCUUUCGAAAAUGGAAAACGAUCGAAGAACUUCGAGGAGAUAUGGUCACACUGAGAGCCAUUGGUAAUCAACACAAUGGCUCUCCAAGUGCACCCAUUGGUCGUGACGAAUAGACCAGGAAUCGAUAACACUCCCCCCUCCCACUUCUCGUUCGAAAUGCAUUGGAUGCACUUAAGCUUUCAUGUGAGUUUGUCAUAAUGAAGCAACUGCAUCUUUCGGGACUUCGGAUUUCAAGCUUGAUCGUUGACGCUCAACAUUGGAUAUGUUCAUGAGCUGAAUUUGGCGUCAAUCUUGCCCAUUCCAAAACUGAGAGUUGUGUUGAUAAUAGAAAAUAAAACAUUAGCCAAGACAAAGUGGAACAAAGUAGAGAUGACGACAAUUUGUAACAACUCUAAACUUCCAUUGGGCGGAACCGGGUUGACCCCAAUUUGAAAGGGGGCAAUAGAGGGAUGUGACGGUAAUGGGCCAUUCUAAGCAUUUUCCGAGUCAUUACUUGUACUAGGGUGAAAUUAAACCCCACUGAAUUUAACUCUGACAUGAGAGCCAUUCCGUCCACUUUGGAACGAAUCAAGACUGAACUCGAC